rnacentral:rRNA from 1 species
CUACGGGCUGCUCCAGUGGGGAAUAUUGGACAAUGGGGGAAACCCUGAUCCAGCAAUGCCGCGUGUGUGAAGAAGGCCUGCGGGUUGUAAAGCACUUUCGGUUGGGAGGACUGCUUCUAGCACUAAUAUUGUUGGAAGUUGACGUUACCUUCAGAAGAAGCACCGGCUAACUCCGUGCCAGCAGCCGCGGUAAUACGGAGGGUGCAAGCGUUAAUCGGAAUUACUGGGCGUAAAGCGCGCGUAGGCGGCUAGAUCAGUCGGGUGUGAAAGCCCCGGGCUUAACCUGGGAACUGCAUCCGAUACUGUCUAGAUUGAUGACAAGAGAGGAGAGUGGAAUUACACAUGUAGCGGUGAAAUGCGUAGAUAUGUGGAGGAACACCAAUGGCGAAGGCAGCUCUCUGGCCUGCUACUGACGCUGAGGUGCGAAAGCGUGGGGCGCAACCAGGAUUAGAUACCCGAGUAUUC